UACGUAGGGUGCAGGCGUUAAUCGGAAUUACUGGGCGUAAAGCGUGCGCAGGCGGUUUGUUAAGACAGAUGUGAAAUCCCCGGGCUUAACCUGGGAACUGCGUUUGUAACUGGCAGACUGGAGUGUGGCAGAGGGGGGUGGAAUUCCAAGUGUAGCAGUGAAAUGCGUAGAUAUUUGGAGGAACACCGAUGGCGAAGGCAGCCCCCUGGGCUAACACUGACGCUCAUGCACGAAAGCGUGGGGAGCAAAC
rnacentral:rRNA from 1 species